GGGAGGCCGAGGUGAGUGGAUCACCUGAGGUUGGGAGUUCGAGACCAGCCUGACCAACAUGGAGAAAUCCCGUCUCUACUAAAAAUACAAAAUUAGUCCGGUGUGGUGGUGCGUGCCUGUAAUCCCAGCUACUCGGGAGGCUGAGGCAGGAGAAUUGCUUGAACCUGGGAGGCGGAGGUUGCAGCGUGCUGAGAUCAUGCCAUUGCGCUCCAGCUUGGGCAACAAGAGUGAAACUCUGUCUAAAAAAAAAAAAAGAUGAAGAAGAAGAAGAAGAAAAGAAAAAUGGUGGCUUUCAUCCCUUCACUUUGAUUCCUCAGGGCUUACGUCAUUGCUCAGAGUCAUUGUAGACCCCAGUCUUAAGUGGCACUAUCUCUGCCAGGCAGAGAAAGGAGCCAAUGAUGCUCUGUGAUCCAAACUCAGAUUUGGGGACAAUCUGUGGUGGUCCUUAUACACUGUGCUACAACCCAGAUUCCUGCAGUGGGAUCCUCCUUGAAAUAUUAGUGGGGGAAAAAUAUGUGCUGCCUGACUCAGGGCCCAGCUACAGAAAUCUGGGAGGUUCAUUUGGCAUGCUUUGUCUCUUGGAUACAGAGAAGAUAAUUUUCAAAGGUCAAACUCCUUUGCUACUUCCUCCUCCUUACUCUAUUGGAUGGGGUCAGAGCAAUGGACUCAACAAAGAGUAUUAGUGGGUAAGGAAGUAAGGUUGAGGAUUCUUUGACUUAUUAUGCUUCCAUAUCAACUAACUGAUACAAGUAGACAGUGUGUUGAAGUGGAAAAAGCAGAUUUUGAAGCCGCACUGAGCUGGAUUUAUUUUCCUUAGUUUUGCAGACAUGAACAAGUCACUUAACCUCUCUGAGCCUCAAUUUCAACAUUUAUAAACUGAAUUUAGAAAUACCUAAUUUGUGUCAAUGAUUGACAGUCUUUGAACAAUCCCUUAAAAGGCCAAAUUUCAAAAUGAUUAAUCAUGGCAUGAGGCAAACCUAUAAGGUAGACUUAGCCUUUUUAAUUACAUGAUACGUUACUAUCAAUACAAGCGUAUCCAUUAUAUGUGUCUACAUUUUGCCUAUAGGCUAGAAAAUAACAGGUAGCAAAAGCUUUUAAGAAAUACACAUUUAUACAAGUUUCAGUUUCUUUUCUCAUUAUCCAUUGAUACCAUAUCUCCUGCUCUAAUACAGGAGUUGUUUUGAUGACACAAAUUACACCAAAACUCACUAUCUCCCCCCAGUCUUACAUAUCAAAUUCCGGAAAAAAAAAAGUCCCUCUAAAUGAGUUUUAAAACUUCUUUCUCCCUUUUGUUAGUUUUCUUAAAAUCAUAGGCUUUAACAAGAGAAAAACACAUUCUCUCUAUUCCAUAGUUAUUUGCAAAUAUUGUGUUAGUGAAAAAAAAAACAGACAGUGCUGUUUUUUUAAGUCUAGAUCAAUUAAUAUCACCCAGUGUAAAAACCGCACCCCCUUAUCUGUAAUGCAUGGACUCAAGGAGCUAGCAAAAGAUUUGUAGAGAAAAAACUCCACAAAGGAUAUUACUCUGGGUGAGAUUUGGUCUACGGGAGUUGAUAUAUUUUGUCAACUGGCAAAAAAAAAAAAAAA
rnacentral:lncRNA from 1 species